UACGUAGGUGGCAAGCGUUGUCCGGAAUUAUUGGGCGUAAAGCGCGCGCAGGCGGUCCUUUAAGUCUGAUGUGAAAGCCCACGGCUCAACCGUGGAGGGUCAUUGGAAACUGGGGAACUUGAGUGCAGAAGAGGAAAGUGGAAUUCCACGUGUAGCGGUGAAAUGCGUAGAGAUGUGGAGGAACACCAGUGGCGAAGGCGGCUUUCUGGUCUGUAACUGACGCUGAGGCGCGAAAGCGUGGGGAGCAAACAGG
rnacentral:rRNA from 1 species